rnacentral:rRNA from 1 species
AUUGAACGCUGGCGGCAUGCCUUACACAUGCAAGUCGAACGGCAGCACGGGUGCUUGCACCUGGUGGCGAGUGGCGAACGGGUGAGUAAUACAUCGGAACAUGUCCUGUAGUGGGGGAUAGCCCGGCAAAAGCCGGAUUAAUACCGCAUACGAUCUACGGAUGAAAGCGGGGGACCUUCGGGCCUCGCGCUAUAGGGUUGGCCGAUGGCUGAUUAGCUAGUUGGUGGGGUAAAGGCCUACCAAGGCGACGAUCAGUAGCUGGUCUGAGAGGACGACCAGCCACACUGGGACUGAGACACGGCCCAGACUCCUACGGGAGGCAGCAGUGGGGAAUUUUGGACAAUGGGCGAAAGCCUGAUCCAGCAAUGCCGCGUGUGUGAAGAAGGCCUUCGGGUUGUAAAGCACUUUUGUCCGGAAAGAAAUCCUUGGCCCUAAUACGGUCGGGGGAUGACGGUACCGGAAGAAUAAGCACCGGCUAACUACGUG